rnacentral:rRNA from 1 species
AGGGUGACAGCCCCGUACACAAAAAUGCACAUACUGUGAGCUCGAUGAGUAGGGCGGGACACGUGGUAUCCUGUCUGAAUAUGGGGGGACCAUCCUCCAAGGCUAAAUACUCCUGACUGACCGAUAGUGAACCAGUACCGUGAGGGAAAGGCGAAAAGAACCCCGGCGAGGGGAGUGAAAAAGAACCUGAAACCGUGUACGUACAAGCAGUGGGAGCACGCUUCGGCGUGUGACUGCGUACCUUUUGUAUAAUGGGUCAGCGACUUAUAUUCUGUAGCAAGGUUAACCGAAUAGGGGAGCCGAAGGGAAACCGAGUCUUAACUGGGCGUUAAGUUGCAGGGUAUAGACCCGAAACCCGGUGAUCUAGCCAUGGGCAGGUUGAAGGUUGGGUAACACUAACUGGAGGACCGAACCGACUAAUGUUGAAAAAUUAGCGGAUGACUUGUGGCUGGGGGUGAAAGGCCAAUCAAACCGGGAGAUAGCUGGUUCUCCCCGAAAGCUAUUUAGGUAGCGCCUCGUGAAUUCAUCUCCGGGGGUAGAGCACUGUUUCGGCAAGGGGGUCAUCCCGACUUACCAACCCGAUGCAAACUGCGAAUACCGGAGAAUGUUAUCACGGGAGACACACGGCGGGUGCUAACGUCCGUCGUGAAGAGGGAAACAACCCAGACCGCCAGCUAAGGUCCCAAAGUCAUGGUUAAGUGGGAAACGAUGUGGGAAGGCCCAGACAGCCAGGAUGUUGGCUUAGAAGCAGCCAUCAUUUAAAGAAAGCGUAAUAGCUCACUGGUCGAGUCGGCCUGCGCGGAAGAUGUAACGGGGCUAAACCAUGCACCGAAGCUGCGGCAGCGACACUAUGUGUUGUUGGGUAGGGGAGCGUUCUGUAAGCCUGUGAAGGUGUACUGUGAGGUAUGCUGGAGGUAUCAGAAGUGCGAAUGCUGACAUAAGUAACGAUAAAGCGGGUGAAAAGCCCGCUCGCCGGAAGACCAAGGGUUCCUGUCCAACGUUAAUCGGGGCAGGGUGAGUCGACCCCUAAGGCGAGGCCGAAAGGCGUAGUCGAUGGGAAACAGGUUAAUAUUCCUGUACUUGGUGUUACUGCGAAGGGGGGACGGAGAAGGCUAUGUUGGCCGGGCGACGGUUGUCCCGGUUUAAGCGUGUAGGCUGGUUUUCCAGGCAAAUCCGGAAAAUCAAGGCUGAGGCGU